rnacentral:rRNA from 1 species
UACAGAGGUCUCAAGCGUUGUUCGGAUUCAUUGGGCGUAAAGGGUGCGUAGGUGGCGCUGUAAGUCGGGUGUGAAAUUUCGGAGCUUAACUCCGAAACUGCAUUCGAUACUGCGGUGCUUGAGGACUGGAGAGGAGACUGGAAUUCAUGGUGUAGCAGUGAAAUGCGUAGAGAUCGGGAGGAACACCCGUGGCGAAGGCGGCCACCUGGGCCGACCCUGACGCUGAGGCGCGAAGGCGUGGGGAGCGAACGGG